AAAUUGCACAGUCCGGCAAGUUCCGCAAGGAUUAAUAGAGAAACCGGUGGAAGUCUGGUACGAUCCCGUCACUGUGAAAGGUUUGCUGCCUGCAUAUGCCACUGGAGAGGAUACUCUCUGGGAAGGCGCAGGAGAGCGCUAAGCCGAAGUCAGGAGAACUGCUUGUCAGGGAUAUUACAUU
rnacentral:ncRNA from 17 species